rnacentral:rRNA from 1 species
AGUGAACGCUGGCGGUAGGCCUAACACAUGCAAGUCGAACGGCAGCACAGUAAGAGCUUGCUCUUACGGGUGGCGAGUGGCGGACGGGUGAGGAAUACAUCGGAAUCUACUUUUUCGUGGGGGAUAACGUAGGGAAACUUACGCUAAUACCGCAUACGACCUACGGGUGAAAGCAGGGGAUCUUCUGACCUUGCGCGAUUGAAUGAGCCGAUGUCGGAUUAGCUAGUUGGCGGGGUAAAGGCCUACCAAGUCGACGAUCCGUAGCUGGUCUGAGAGGAUGAUCAGCCACACUGGAACUGAGACACGGUCAAGACUCCUACGGGAGGCAGCAGUGGGGAAUAUUGGACAAUGGGCGCAAGCCUGAUCCAGCCAUACCGCGUGGGUGAAGAAGGCCUUCGGGUUGUAAAGCCCUUUUGUUGGGAAAGAAAAGCAGCAGGUUAAUACCACGCUGUUCUGACGGUACCCAAAGAAUAAGCACCGGCUAACUUCGUG